rnacentral:rRNA from 1 species
AUUGAACGCUGGCGGCAGGCUUAACACAUGCAAGUCGAGCGGAGCGAGGGUGCUUGCACCUUAGCUUAGCGGCGGACGGGUGAGUAAUGCUUAGGAAUCUGCCUAUUAGUGGGGGACAACAUUCCGAAAGGAAUGCUAAUACCGCAUACGCCCUACGGGGGAAAGCAGGGGAUCUUCGGACCUUGCGCUAAUAGAUGAGCCUAAGUCGGAUUAGCUAGUUGGUGGGGUAAAGGCCUACCAAGGCGACGAUCUGUAGCGGGUCUGAGAGGAUGAGCCGCCACACUGGGACUGGGACACGGCCCAGACUCCUACGGGAGGCAGCAGUGGGGAAUAUUGGACAAUGGGCGGAAGCCUGAUCCAGCCAUGCCGCGUGUGUGAAGAAGGCCUUUUGGUUGUAAAGCACUUUAAGCGAGGAGGAGGCUACUAGUAUUAAUACUACUGGAUAGUGGACGUUACUCGCGGAAUAAGCACCGGCUAACUCUGUGCCAGCAGCCGCCGUAACAC